AAUCAUCGUGUGAGAAAAGAUAAAAAAGAAUUCUUUAUUUUCUUCGUUCUUGAAAGUCAGAAAUUUGCAAUUCAGACACAGACCCAGAUCUCUAAAAACACCACUCAACCACCACAUUACCACCCACCACAACCAAAGAAACCCAACCCGAAUCAUAAUCUAAAUCAUCGAACCCCAUCAUUCUAAAUCAUCAAAAUCAAAACCCCAUCAAUCUAUCUUUUCAAAUUCUUGAAUGGCUUCACCAUCUUCGUCACCAUCAAACAACAAAGCCCCCAUUUUUAAUCCCACAAAUUCACCAAAAUCAGCAACCCCCACCAUCAAGAAACCCCAACCUCUCCCUUGGACUCACCAAGAAACAAUAAAUUUAAUCCAAUCUUACCAAGAUAAAUGGUACUCUCUCAAAAAGGGUCAGCUCAAAUCUUCCCAAUGGGAAGAAGUUUCUGUCACUGUUGCUGCCCGGUGUGGCUAUGAUCAGCCCUCCAAGUCAGCUACUCAAUGCCGCCAUAAGAUUGAGAAACUGCGUAAACGAUAUAGGGCUGAGAGGCUUAAGCCUUACCCUGAUUCUUGGCCUUAUUUUGAUAUGAUGGAUUGUAUGGAAACCGGUCCCUUUCCUGUUACGAUGGCUCGGCCGGUGUCCAUGGUGCAAUGUGAUCAAGAUAGUGAUGACAGUGAUGUCGAUUGUAAUUUGAACAAGUCGAGGAGUAUUAAUCGUAUUGUCAAAGGGGGGAAUUGUGGUAAUGUUGGUAGUGUGGAGAGAAAUGUGAGAGCUUUCGGGGGUUCAAGAAAGCCCAGUAUUGGGAAAAGGAAGGAUUUUUAUGAGAUUGAUGAGGAGGAGGAGGAUGAGGAGGUGGAUGAUGAGGGUGAGGGAGAGGAAGGGGGAGAAGGGAGUCGUGUAGUGAUGGAAUUGGCUGGUCAAAUUAGGACAUUUGCCGAGAAUUUCGUUAGAGUGGAGCAGAAGAAGGUUCAGAUGAUGAGGGAAACCGCCAAGUACCAGAUGGAAAUGGAGAAUAAGAGGAUGAAAAUGAUUAUUGAAUCACAGAAAAAGAUUGUUGAGACUAUUCACGAGGCUUUUAGCGAUUCUCACAAGAAAAUGAAGACGGCUCCAUGAUUUUUUUCAAGAUCUUUUUCCUGCCGGCCUGCCCCCAAUUCAAACUAACAUACUGACCUCAAUUUACAAUAUAUUUGGCUUAGCAAAGAACAUGAGUAGGUGACUGGGAUGGGUAUAAAUUACAGGCAGGCAGCUGAGGCAGGCAGCUGAGCUGGAAGGGAUGCAGGACAGGUGUGGCUUUUGGGUGGUUGCACGUGUAACCCUUUGAGCCUACGGAAUGUCAAGAUGGGUCCGAAGGGGUAGCAAGGGUUUGUAGGGGUCGUAGGGCAGCCAGGGUUUGUAGGGGCCGUAAGGUUUAGAUAGUUGGAGUCUUGCGGCCUUUCAACCUGAGCCUAUUUUACUUGAGCCUAUUUUGGAGUCUAUCAGUUGCCCUCGUAACGGGGGAGCCUUCUUUAGGAGGCUAUGUCCGUGGAUAAAAUUGUAUACUCAUGUGUGUAAAAGUGAGUUUUGUAAUUUUUCUUCGUGUAAGGUUGUUAUAUUGGUGGAGAAUGGAGGGGCUUUUAUUGUUUAUAAUAGGAUCCAUGUUUUAACAAAA